rnacentral:lncRNA from 1 species
GUUUUGUAGUGAAAACCUGGCAACCCUGCGCGGCAUGCAUCUCUCGGUGAUCCGUUCUGCGCAGCUUUGGUUCAUCUCAAACGAGCCUAUUGUUGUUUAAUGGCAAAAAAGUUUAAGAUUAGCCGAUAGUCUGUCGAUUCAUUAAAUGAUAAGCUGUUUCUUAACAAAAGUUGUUUGUUCAGCGUAUCGAAGCCUCUCAUCUAUUGACAUACAUUCAAAAAACGGCUUUGGUCUCCUUCCCUGCAUACAGCCAUAGACUGUAUAUAAAGGUACAGCCAAAGCAGCAGCGGCAACAUUGUUACAUUGUUACGCUUAUUUGUCCAAAGGUUCCAGAGAGCCACGCGUCAUCACGGCUGAUCAGAACUCGUUCACGGUUUUGUAAAUUUGUACAGCUCUCCCGAGAAGGCAUAAGGCUUCUGUUUUAUUCAGCUCUUGCGGUGAAGAACCCUGCAGAAUGAAAGAUGAAGAUACAGAGAAACAAACAGAGUCGAUGGGACUGAAAGAAGACAAGCAGCAUCAGUUUGAAAAACCUC